ensembl:lncRNA
GAGGAGGGGAAAGACCCUAUUUGGACACAGACUGGCUAACCUAGUGAGGAGGGCUUUAAACUAGGUUCGACGGGGACAGGUGAGCAAAGCCCACAGGUAAGUGGGGAACAUAGAGACCUGGGAGAUGGGUCGGAAACGAGAGGGAGUGUGGGCUAAAUUGGCAGAGAGAAAGGAGGGUCAGGACAAAACUGGGAGGCAAGAUCAAACCAGUAUCUUAGAUGCCUAUAUACAAAUGCAAGAAGUAUGGGUAAUAAGCAGGAAGAACUGGAAGUGCUAAUAAAUAAAUACAACUAUGACAUUGUUGGCAUCACUGAAACUUGGUGGGAUAAUACACAUGAUUGGAAUGUUGGUGUGGAUGGGUACAGCUUGCUCAGGAAGGAUAGACAGGGGAAAAAGGGAGGAGGUGUUGCCUUAUAUAUUAAAAAUGUACACACUUGGACUGAGUUGGAGAUGGACAUAGGAGACGGAAGUGUUGAGAGUCUCUGGGUUAGGCUAAAAGCGGUAAAAAACAAGGGUGAUGUCAUGCUAGGAGUCUACUACAGGCCACCUAACCAAGUGGAAGUGGUGGAUGAGGCUUUUUUUAAACGACUAACAAAAUCAUCCAAAGCCCAAGAUUUGGUGGUGAUGGGGGACUUCAGCUAUCCAAAUAUAUGUUGGGAAAAUAACACAGCGGGGCACAGACUAUUCAACAAAUUCUUGGACUGCAUUGCAGACAACUUUUUAUUUCAGAAGGUUGAAAAAGCUACUAGGGGGGAAGUUGUUCUAGACUUGAUUUUAACAAAUAGGGAGGAACUCAUUGAGAAUUUGAAAGUAGAAGGCAGCUUGGGUGAAAGUGAUCAUGAAAUCAGAGAGUUUGCAAUUCUAAGGAAGGGUAGAAGGGAGAACAGUAAAAUAGAGACAAUGGAUUUCAAGAAGGCGGAUUUUGGUAAACUCAGAGAGCUGAUAGGUAAGGGCCCAUGGGAAUCAAGACUGAGGGGAAAAACAACUGAGGAGAGUUGGCAGUUUUUCAAAGGGACACUAUUAAGGGCCCAAAAGCAAGCUAUUCCGCUGGUUAGGAAAGAUAGAAAAUGUGGCAAAAGACCACCUUGGCUUAACAAUGAGAUCACGAUCUAAAAAAUAAAAAGGAGUCAUAUAAAAAAUGGAAACUAGGA